CACACAUCGCCUGGAAAUCAAACCCACAAUGUUCCGCUUACCGGGCAGAUGCCAUGUCCACUAGGCUACCCUGGACAUAU